rnacentral:rRNA from 1 species
ACAUAUACCGGAAAGCAUCAGAGAUGGUGCCCCCCUUGUGGUCGGUAUACAGGUGGUGCAUGGCUGUCGUCAGCUCGUGUCGUGAGAUGUUGGGUUAAGUCCCGCAACGAGCGCAACCCUUGUUCUGUGUUGCCAGCAUGCCCUUCGGGGUGAUGGGGACUCACAGGAGACUGCCGGGGUCAACUCGGAGGAAGGUGGGGACGACGUCAAGUCAUCAUGCCCCUUAUGUCUUGGGCUGCACACGUGCUACAAUGGCCGGGGUCACAUGAGAUGGGAUGCCCCGAGGCGGAGCGAAUCUCAAAAAGCCGGUCUCAGUUCGGAUUGGGGUCUGCAACUCGACCCCAUGAAGUCGGAGUUGCUAGUAAUCGCAGAUCAGCAUUGCUGCGGUGAAUACGUUCCCGGGCCUUGUACACACCGCCCGUCACGUCACGAAAGUCGGUAACACCCGAAGCCGUUCCCCAACCCCUUGUGGGAGGGACGCUGUCGAAGGUGGGACUGGCGA